ACUAAUACUAGCCCGCACCACAUAAAAUAUAACUAACCCCACCAGAUAAACCAAAACAUUUACCCCUAAUAAAAGUAUAGGAGAUAGAAAGUCUAAUCGGCGCCAUAGAGAGAGUACCGUAAGGGAAAGAUGAAAGACACAUUAAAAGUAAUAAACAGCAAAGCUUACCCCUUGUACCUUUUGCAUAAUGAUUUAACUAGAAUAAUUUGACAAAGAGAACUUAAGCCAAACAACCCGAAACCAGACGAGCUACUUAAGAGCAGCUAAAAGAGCAAACUCAUCUAUGUGGCAAAAUAGUGAGAAGACUUUUAAGUAGUGGUGACAAGCCUAUCGAGCCUGGUGAUAGCUGGUUGUCCAGAAUCGAAUUUUAGUUCAAUAUUAAGUCAUACCAAAAAAAAAUUACAAUUUAAAUGUAGACUUAAAAUAUAAUCUAAAAGGGUACAGCCUUUUAGAAACAGGAUACAACCUUAACUAGAGAGUAAGUACUCUACAGAUUCAUAGUUGGCCUAAAAGCAGCCAUCAAUUAAGAAAGCGUUCAAGCUCAACAAACCACUACCCAUUAAUUUGAAUAAUGAAUACGAACCCCUAGUAUGACACUGGACCAUUCUAUUCUCAAAUAGAAGAGACACUGUUAAUAUGAGUAACAAGAACCAGCUUCUCCCUGCACAAACUUAUAUCAGAUAACGGAUGAUCCACUGAUAGUUAACAGCAAGAUACGUCCUACACCGCAACUAGAACAACUAUCCAAUCAACUGUUAACCCAACACAGGUGUGCACUAAGGGAAAGAUUAAAAGAAGUAAAAGGAACUCGGCAAACACAAACCCCGCCUGUUUACCAAAAACAUCACCUCCAGCAUAACAACUAUUGGAGGCACUGCCUGCCCGGUGACAUCUGUUAAACGGCCGCGGUAUCCUGACCGUGCAAAGGUAGCAUAAUCAUUUGUUCUCUAAAUAAGGACUUGUAUGAAUGGCCACACGAGGGUUUUACUGUCUCUUACUUCCAAUCAGUGAAAUUGACCUUCCCGUGAAGAGGCGGGAAUAAACAAAUAAGACGAGAAGACCCUAUGGAGCUUUAAUUAACUAACCCACAGACAGCAAAUCCCAAUUCCAAGGAAAACAAGACAAAUACCCUGAUGGGUUAACAAUUUAGGUUGGGGUGACCUCGGAAUAUAAAAAAACUUCCAAGUGAUUAAAAUAUAGACCAACAAGUCAAAAUUAACCACAUCAAACAUUGAUCCAGUUUAUCUGAUCAACGGAACAAGUUACCCUAGGGAUAACAGCGCAAUCCUAUUUGAGAGUCCAUAUCGAUAAUAGGGUUUACGACCUCGAUGUUGGAUCAGGACAUCCCAAUGGUGCAGCAGCUAUUAAUGGUUCGUUUGUUCAACGAUUAAAGUCCUACGUGAUCUGAGUUCAGACCGGAGUAAUCCAGGUCGGUUUCUAUCUAUUUCACGUUCCCCCCAGUACGAAAGGAUAAGGGGAACAGGGCCCACUUAACAUAAGCGCCCUCAAACCAAUAGAUGAUAUAAUCUUAAUCUAAUAGUGAUAACCAUAAAUACCCAAGAACAGGGUUA
rnacentral:rRNA from 1 species